rnacentral:lncRNA from 1 species
GAGUGGACUCUUUCAAUAUAUUAUAAAUGAAUAAUUUUGGUCUUAGUUAUUAUAAAAUUUAUAAUAAAUUUUUAUUUAAAAAUUAUAUUAAUAUUAUAAAUCAUAAAAUUUGUCAAUCUCACCGACUUGCAAAUUACGGAUUGGUUAAAAAUUUUAAGAAAUUAUAGCACGAGUAACCGAAACCAAGAACAUAUUUAUAUAUAAAUCUUAUCUAAAUAAUUUAGGGCUUUUUUAAUAGAUACUCGAGCCUAAAAGAAUUUUUACUAAAAUAAUAUCAAUUUUUAAAACAAAUUGCAAAAAUACAAUCUUUCAAAUAAAAAUUGAAAAAAUACGGAGGUUGCAUUUGCAAUCAUUUGUGCAACUACUGGCAAGCACAAAUGCAACUUUGACAAAAUCUAUUAAAAAUAUAUUUAUUUGCAUAAUAAGCAAGUGGUUGAAAAUGGCGAAAAUGAGUGCUCCUGCGGGGCUGGCAUUAAUAUCACAAAAUCAACUCAAAACAAUCAUGAAAUCAACUAAAAGCAACUGAUUAAGAUGAACAAGAUGGAGAAAUAGAGAUGAUGAUGGAGAAGAGAGGUGGCAAUGAUUGAGUGUCGUCUCGCAGCGAAGUCGGGACUGCUAGGAAAGGAGUGGGUUGUGUAUAUCGGAGGGAGGAGGGGUUGGACUGGUGGUGUGGUGCGCCGCCGAUCGUUGUAGAUGGCCAGCCUACAACUGUGUCGGUGUAUGCAAAGAUGUCGAGAUGGAGAUGAGAAAGUGAGGAGAGUGAUGUCGAGUGAUUGCAAAAAUGAUGUACAUUAGAAUGGGGGUUCAAAAGUCGGCAGUAGUGAGAGUAAUUUGAGAUUGUUGAUGGCAUGAGGACUUCGACGGUGGCGACACCGCCAAAGGGAGUGGUUAGCGUGGGUUAGUGAUUGGAGGGUGAUAGGAGUUGUUUGACAGAAGACAUGAUAUGUGGUGGUUGGUUCAGCAUAAGCAGGCCGUAAAGGAAGUGGCUGAGUAUGAAGGGCUGCAAAGCAGUAAGCGGUGGUCGAGUGUAGGAAAAAGAUAGUGCAAGAUGAAGAUAAAAUAUUCACAAUUUAAUUGAUUGUAUGUUUGAAAGAUAGUAAAUUUGCUAGAUUUUAAACGAUAUGAUAUAUUUACAAAUAUAUAUCUAAAAGUUGGUAUAUUUGUCAAAUUCUCAAUAAUUCAUGAGCGUUUAUAUCUUCG